rnacentral:lncRNA from 1 species
ACGCUGCCACAGGGACGAGUGCCAGCCUUGUCUACAGGCUGGUUUCUAAAGCUGGGGAUGCCCCUCUGGUGAAAGUAUCCAGUAGCACUGGGGAGAUUUUCACAACCUCCAACAGAAUAGACAGAGAGAAACUCUGUGCCGGAGCUUCUUAUGCUGAGGAGAAUGAGUGUUUCUUUGAACUUGAGGUGGUGAUCCUCCCCAAUGACUUUUUCAGACUGAUCAAAAUCAAGAUCAUUGUCAAGGAUACCAAUGAUAAUGCCCCCAUGUUUCCGUCUCCCGUCAUCAAUAUUUCCAUCCCAGAGAACACUUUGAUCAACAGUCGCUUUCCAAUCCCAUCAGCCACAGACCCUGACACGGGCUUCAAUGGGGUACAGCAUUAUGAAUUGCUGAAUGGGCAGAGUGUUUUUGGACUGGAUAUCGUGGAAACUCCGGAGGGAGAAAAGUGGCCG